rnacentral:sRNA from 1 species
AGUUGACGGGUUGUAGCUGGCCUUCCGAGGCAUGUGCACGCCCUGCUCAUCCACUCUACCCCUGUGCACUUACUGUAGGCUCUGGGUUUGACGAGCGUUGUUUACGACGCUUUGAUUCUUGGGGCUUACGUUUAUUAUAAACUAUUAAAGUAUCAGAAUGUGUAUUGCGAUGUAACGCAUCUAUAUACAACUUUCAGCAACGGAUCUCUUGGCUCUCGCAUCGAUGAAGAACGCAGCGAAAUGCGAUAAGUAAUGUGAAUUGCAGAAUUCAGUGAAUCAUCGAAUCUUUGAACGCACCUUGCGCUCCUUGGUAUUCCGAGGAGCAUGCCUGUUUGAGUGUCAUGAAAUUCUCAACCUACAAGCCUUUGCGGGUUUGUACGUGUUGGACUUGGAGGAUUAUAAUUGUCGGCGCAAGUCGGCUCCUCUAAAAUGCAUUAGCUUGAUUCCUUGCGGAUCGGCUCUCGGUGUGAUAAUUGUCUACGCCGUGACCGUUGAAGCGUUUUGGCGAGCUUAUAAUCGUCUCUGUUAAUGAGACAGCUUACUUUGACAU